GUGCCCUGACUGGGAACUGGUGACCUCUUGGUGCAUGGGUCCAAGCUCAACCACUGAGCCACACCGGCAGGACAAGCACGUGACCUUGCCAGCCUCAUUAUCCACUGUGAAGAGCAUGGCUGACGUCUGUGGGGAAUGCAUCUUGAAGAACUUCAAGGCUUCAUUCGGGGCCUUGGCUGAUGUGCCGCUCUCUAGCUCCAGGAUGGUUGGGGUUGCUGCCAAUGAGUCGCUUCUGGGCAUCGGCUUUGCUAGCCCGGUCUAGGUCAUCCAUGUUCUUCUUCAGGGAUUUGAGAUUCUCCCAGAAUUCAUCCUUCUACCACUGGGGAACGAGAGCAGUGGCCAAGGCCUCACUAAGACACAGUGAGAUGGUGGCCAUCUACAAAUCAGGAAGAAGGAUCUCACCAGACAUCAAAUCUGCUGGCACCUUGAAGUUGAGUUCUCACCCUCCAGAAUUGUGAGAUAUAAAGGAUCAACAACAAGCCUGCAUUGUUAUCACUGAGUACAGGGCUGUGACCCACAUCAAAUGAGAUCAUGAAGAUGGGUUGAGUUUCUGGUGAAUAGGUGACAGCAGUGCUAAAUCAGUCCUCUGUGCUGACUGACACUGGCACCAGGAAAAUGUCUGCAGGGAUUCUGUCUAGCAGCAAGAGGACCUGACCCCAACUCAAUUGUCUCAGUCAUGAAAAAACUUCCCUGAAUUCGAGCUUUUAGCAGUUUGCUUUCCUUACUUUUUGCCUAUUGGGACAAUGCGUUUUCUGGAUGAUAGUUGUUUUCUUUUUUUCCUUCUAUUAUAAUUCCAUUAUGGCAUUUAUAUGACUUGUAUAAAUAAAAUAGUAGCUCUAAAUUGUAGGGGGUGCUGUGAUAGCAUUAUUUUUUCCUAAGAAAUAGAAAUCUUUAACAUAGAUACAUUUCUCAGAAGUUUUGGCUUCUCAAAAGUCAAUAGCUGCAUUGCUGUAUCCCAUGUGCUGGAUUAGUAAAGAAGAUACUUGUCCAGCAAAAGGAAUAAACUUGACAAAUACAUAAACCACUUUGAUUUUGUUUUCGUUUUCCCUUGUCUGCAAAU